GAUAAGAAAGAAAAUAUUCAGUUCAACGAGAUAAGCGUGAUUGAGAUUUUUUUCUUUUUAUCAUUUUUUACGCGACUAAAUAGGGAUUGUAUUCAUAUUUUAUAUGAAUACAUACUAUUUGUAAAACCGAAUAUAUCAGGCAUAAAUCGAAUACAUCGGUUAUAAAUAGUAAUUAUGUAAAAUUUGGCUAUGAAAGGUUGAUUUUAUAGCAAAAUGCUGCUAAUUUUGAAAGAUCCCCAAAAUAAAAGCCAUAAAAACUCUGAACGACUACGAAACUUUUUUUUGACUCACUUUUUUUUUUUACAACAUGUCCUUGCCUGCACACUUUUCUUUAAUUCUAACACAUGCUUGUCCCCAAAUUAGUCCAUCAAAUGACCCUGUUACCCUCACAGAUGCAACAAUUAUCACGUAGGAAUGAAUUAGGGUGAGUUUUCUAAAAAGGAUCAAGUGGGUCCUGCUAGGCCUCCAUAUGAUGCAGAUAAGCAUGACCUAAAGGUUGGUCUAGGCUGGGGUCCACUAACAAAGUUGUUCGGAGAAACAUAUGAUCGAUAAUAGUUGCAAGAGCUUUCCACCCACUUCAUAUGUCCGGCGUCUCUCCCUCUUAAAAUAAAGAUAACUCAACUAGAGUUCGUGUACACAACGUGUACUCUGAAACUUGUUGCGAAAGAAAUGACUCGAGUUAUGCAAAUGAUGACAGAUAUAAAGCACUAAUACAUAAAGAAAGACUGUAAACAAAGAGCACGUAGACACAAUGAUAAAACAAUAACACAAAUAAUAACAUAGACAAAAUGUUUAUACAUCUAUAGUGUCAAACUAAGCCUAUACAACUCAUAAAUAAACUCAAAUUCUAAAAAAUCCUCAGCAGAGUUGCCAGAGUUGUCACACCCCUUUUUUUACCAAAAAGAUUAUUAUUUUAAGAUUGAAAAAGUUUUUAUUAUUAUGUGACAAAAGAUAAAAUUUGUUUUGAAAAGAAUUCUUUUUCAUUUGAACUCAGAAUCGCCACUUGGUAUAAAUCUGGUGUGCCAAGUCACCUUUGAAAAUCCCUUUUCAAAAUAAUUUUGACUCUUUUAAACCUAGUCCACGAACAGAGUUUCCGGUUAAGAAAUUUUGUUAACCGAGGUAAAGAUGUUAGGCACCCCUUAAUUCCGUGGUUCGACCACGAUCGUUUUAUAGAAUAUAUCGGCUAGUAGACAUUAUGAAGUGAAUAAACUACAUAAAACACACAAAUCAAACAAAUAAAAAAUCAAACGUUAAUGUCCAGUCCAAUUUAUUACAAACCGAAAUGAAAAUGCUGAAAUUAAAAUCUAAACUAUUCUAUCUAUCCUACACUAUAUUUUACCCAAUACCUCGGGCCUUGAUCAUGAUUGAUCUUUCGAGUAUAAAAUAUCACGGGAAAUUUUCUGAUAACAAAUACAAUUUUUCUCGGGACAUUCCCCGAUUAAAUGUGUAUAAUUGAGUCAAAUGUGAUAUGACAAAUCAUUCAACAAAUAUUUCAAAUAUUCAACAAUUCACAAUUCUUACUUUUGCCUACCCAACCUAAAAUUUUCCUAUUAAUUCUCGGUCUAAGAUAUGAUAGUAUCGUAUUUGUCAAAAUUACAUCCGUUUCAAAUCAAACAACAACCAAUAGAUCAAAUUAACCAACGUUCAACUUCAUCAAUUUUGAUUCCCACCCAAUUAUAUUUUAAUAUAAACCCAAACUCAUAUUGUCAUCACAUUCAUACCAUUGAGAUCAAUUAUUCAAAUACAAACAACAUCAAAUAUCAACUAAAUCAGCCAAACAAAUAGAACAAUGAUAUCGAAUCACAUCUACAAUCAUACCAAAAUUAAAAUAAAGAGAGUGAUGAGAGAAUCAUCUACAAUCACACCAAAAUUAAAAUAAAGAGAGUGAUAAGAGAAUUGGACCUUAACUGAGCUUUUUAAUAUGCCAAAUUUCAUGAUAAGAGGACGGAACCACGUCUUUAAAACUCGAAUCGAACCUCAAUACAGACCCCAUCUCCGGCAAAAAUGGGUCCCGUUCGGCCGCUUGGUGGUUUGUCUGAGUUGGCGUUGUGGCUUUCAUCUCGUCGGAGCUCCGACGAGUUCUAACAGUGACUAAAAAUAGAGAAAAGCUACUGGCUGUAACGUUCUCCAGCGAGGAUUCACCGAAAAAUCUCUCUCCCGCUCCUUUCUCUCUCUGGUUUUCUCAUCUCUUUCUCUCUCUUUUCUGUGUGUUCCCGAUGUGUGUAUUUUAUUUAUUAUGUGUGCGUCUUCUCUUUUUUCGGCGAGUGUGGGUGUAUAUGUGUAUUGUGGGGGUGAGUGAGUCUGUAAGAGAGUAUGUGUGAAGGUGAGAGUAUUUUCUCUGAGGUACUGUGUAGAGUAUUCUGUGUGUAGUGUUGUUGUGUAUGGAAUUGUCUGUAUGUGUAUAUUUCUGUCAAUAUGUAUUGAUGGAGAGGAGUGUGCGUGUAUCGAUGCGAGGGUGUGUGAGAAACGUGAAUUGGGGUGGGGUAUGUGGAGGUAGGGGUAUGGAUUGUUAUUUUUGUUAGGUGAGUUGUUUCAAGUUGUUAAGAAUUUGUUGAAUUUGUUAUUAUAUGAAAUUUAUCAUGUAUGUGAAGGUACGUGGUAAACGUG